GGGGGUGUAUUUGGUUUCGACAUAGAGUAUUCCUUGGAUAAGGAGCGAGUCGAGGAGCUGCCCGGCCUCGUAAAAAGGCAGAAAAACAUAAGUGCAGACACAAACGCAUUUAAAGGUGCUUUCGCACCACAAGCAAUCGCCGCUUAAUAUUUAUUAGGUAGCGUCGUUAAUAUCUGGUGUUGACGACAGGUAUUGAUGUUAUUUAGUCGACUUUUCUUAUUAGUAUGCGCUGGCUAAUAGGAGAAACUAAAGUGCUUACUCUAGAGUUGCUUGCUUGUUAGUCGUUUUAGAGGACAUUUUUAAUAAGCUACACUCGUAGGGCCUUAUCUAUGGCGCUUUAUGGACAGGGGUUCGACUCCCCUCACCUCCACCA
rnacentral:tmRNA from 1 species